AAAAAAAAAAAAGAUUAAUAUUUCUUCUUCAUAAUUACAUUUUUCGUAGUGAAAUCUUAAGAUGACCACCUCCUUGGUGUAUUAAAUUAAAUGUUACCUUAAUUCAGCCCAAAACAUAAGAAAUAAUGAGGCUGCAGCCCAAGCCCAUUACAUAAAUCAAAACGGAAAACGUAAGACGCAGAGUAGUAGAUCCCACACUUUUGCGAGGAAUCUCCCAGACCCAAACCCAAACCCAAAGAAAGAAAUUCAAAAAAAUUAGAAUCGGAAGAUCAAAGCGCGAAAUUCCGAUUGCGUUGAAUCGGGAACGAUGGAUCCCAUCGCGAUCAGUGUCUUCAUCAUCUUCAUCGUCGCCGUCUCGAUCACCGUCUCCAUCUCUUUUCUCAUCCGAUGUCUCCGAGCUCGCUCUCUCCUCCCUCCAUCACUCUCUUCUCUCAUCCGACGUCUCUGCGGUGGUGCUCGCUCUCAACUGUUUGAGAUCAGCGAGUAUUUCUGGUGGCUCGCAACUGUUUGAGAGAUAAUUGAAACAUGAGGUAACGUUUCAGAGUGUGAAGGAUGGAAGUUAUAUGAGCUUUUUCUUUGGCUAUAUCAUUUUACAUU
rnacentral:lncRNA from 1 species